GAAUUCACUAGUGAUUCAGGCCUAACACAUGCAAGUCGAGCGGUAGAGAGAAGCUUGCUUCUCUUGAGAAAGGCGGACGGGUGAGUAAUGCCUAGGAAUCUGCCUGGUAGUGGGGGAUAACGUUCGGAAACGGACGCUAAUGCCGCAUACGUCCUACGGGAGAAAGCAGGGGACCUUCGGGCCUUGCGCUACCAGAUGAGCCUAGGUCGGAUUAGCUAGUUGGUGAGGUAAUGGCUCACCAAGGCGACGAUCCGUAACUGGUCUGAGAGGAUGAUCAGUCACACUGGAACUGAGACACGGUCCAGACUCCUACGGGAGGCAGCAGUGGGGAAUAUUGGACAAUGGGCGAAAG
rnacentral:rRNA from 1 species